GAAGUACUCCCUCCGUCCGAAAAUACUUGUCCUAGAAAUGGAUGUAUUUGUAACUAAAAUAAGGCUAGAUACAACCAUUUUUAGGACAAGUAUUUCCGGACGGAGGGAUGGCUUU
rfam:Triticum aestivum genome assembly, contig: Triticum_aestivum_CS42_TGACv1_scaffold_437440_5DL